rnacentral:rRNA from 1 species
UACGUAGGGGGCAAGCGUUGUCCGGAAUUAUUGGGCGUAAAGAGCGCGUAGGCGGUCCGAUAAGUCGGCUGUGAAAGUCCAGGGCUCAACCCUGGAAAGCCGGCCGAUACUGUCGGACUAGAGUCCGGAAGAGGCAAGUGGAAUUCCCGGUGUAGCGGUGAAAUGCGCAGAUAUCGGGAGGAACACCAAUUGCGAAGGCAGCUUGCUGGGACGGUUCUGACGCUGAGGCGCGAAAGCGUGGGGAGCAAACAGG